ACCUCGGAUCAGGUAGGGAUACCCGCUGAACUUAAGCAUAUCAAUAAGCGGAGGAAAAGAAACCAACAGGGAUUACCUCAGUAACGGCGAGUGAAGCGGUAACAGCUCAAAUUUGAAAGCUGGCUCUUUUAGGGUCCGCGUUGUAAUUUGUAGAAGAUGCUUCGGGUGUGGCCCCGGUCUAAGUUCCUUGGAACAGGACGUCAUAGAGGGUGAGAAUCCCGUAUGUGACUGGGUGCUUUCGCUCAUGUGAAGCUCUUUCGACGAGUCGAGUUGUUUGGGAAUGCAGCUCAAAAUGGGUGGUAAAUUUCAUCUAAAGCUAAAUAUUGGCCAGAGACCGAUAGCGCACAAGUAGAGUGAUCGAAAGAUGAAAAGCACUUUGGAAAGAGAGUUAAACAGUACGUGAAAUUGUUGAAAGGGNAAGCGCUUGCAACCAGACUUGCGCGCUGAUGAUCAUCCGGGCUUCUGCCCGGUGCACUCGUCUGCGCUCAGGCCAGCAUCGGUUUCGGUGGUGGGAUAAAGGCCUUGGGAAUGUGGCUCCUCUCGGGGAGUGUUAUAGCCCUCGGUGCAAUGCCGCCAACCGGGACCGAGNACCGCG
rnacentral:rRNA from 1 species